CCUAGACUGACGAUUCAUUCAUUAAAAUGCAUUUUUAAGCGUCGUUAAAAGCAAAUCAGCUGGACCCGCCAUUUUGAAUUUAAAUCCACAUCCAUCUGCAUUAAUGGUACCAUCAAGGAUCCUAUCCCACAAAUAUUCCAAGGCUAUUCUUCCAAGAAGAUAUAUAUUUAGCAGACCAAAUUCAAAUAAUUUAAAAUUAUAUGACUAAAUUAUUAAAAUUUAUAUUUUAAACAUUUUUUUAUACAUAGAAUAUAAAGUAUCUAAUAAAGUUCCCUUACUUAUCA